rnacentral:rRNA from 1 species
GACGAACGCUGGCGGCGUGCUUAACACAUGCAAGUCGAACGGAAAGGCCCUGCCGUUGUGGGGUGCUCGAGUGGCGAACGGGUGAGUAACACGUGAGUAACCUGCCCUUGACUUUGGGAUCACUUCAGGAAACUGGGGCUAAUACCGGAUAGGAGCUCCUGCUGCAUGGUGGGGGUUGGAAAUUUUCGGCGGUUGGGGAUGGACUCGCGGCUUAUCAGCUUGUUGGUGGGGUAGUGGCUUACCAAGGCUUUGACGGGUAGCCGGCCUGAGAGGGUGACCGGCCACAUUGGGACUGAGAUACGGCCCAGACUCCUACGGGAGGCAGCAGUGGGGAAUAUUGCACAAUGGGCGGAAGCCUGAUGCAGCAACGCCGCGUGCGGGAUGACGGCCUUCGGGUUGUAAACCGCUUUCGCCUGUGACGAAGCGUGAGUGACGGUAAUGGGUAAAGAAGCACCGGCUAACUACGUG